rnacentral:lncRNA from 1 species
ACAACGGUGUAUUUUGCUAUUUUUAUCAGAAUUCAUCAUUUUCAUAUUAAUCCAAUUAGCAUCCUGUUUACCAAUACCUCAUUUUUUAAUUUGCAGCUUCCUUCUAAAAGCUUGGGGGGGACUUUCACAACUCGAUCUGUCCUCCCUCAUUACUGCCAAAUAAUUAGUCAAGGAGCCGUCCCUGAUCAAAAAUUAAGAACCCAGAAGCAAGUUGGAGCAUGCCUCGCUCCAGAAGAAAACAUGACAGGAGACUCUUGUAAUUAUGAGGGGACUGGUUGGUAGUCAUGAUGCAGCCGGCAAAGACUGUGAUAGCAGGAAGGAGAGACCUGCACUGAAUCGUGAGCGUGGCCGAUCACAGCUCAUUAACUAGCUUGGAGUUUGCAUCUCCUGUUUAACUGACAAAGACCGCAGAGUCUUUCCUCUGUAAUUUGGGGGCUGACUUCACCCUGCAUUGUGCAUGGUGCAAAUUGCGAGGACCAUAAAGAGAGGAUGCUUGGUGACAUGAAAGGACCUCCGUGGCUGGCCUUACUCCCUGUGGAUGCCACAGCUGCAGGAUCCUGGGGCCCCAACAGAAGCCGGUGAAGGAAGAGUUCCUGCUCCAGCAGAACAAAACUGCCCUUUGCCCAGAAAUCCUGCAAACUGAGGCUGGACGACUUGAAAUACUCAUCAGCGAGAUUACCACGAAGCCCAGGUGCGAGGGACCCUCACGCCUGUUGCUGCGUGGGCCGCCCAGACAUCGCCAGAGACCAAACCGCAGAAGAUGCUCGGAGCCCAACAUCUACAAACCUGCCCCGCCACGGCCCCCAGGCUCAGAAACUGGUUUUUAGUCAGCUCCAAUGAUUAGCUUUUUUUUUUUUUCUUUUGUUUCCAUAGAAAUGCCUCUUCAAAGCAUUAUGGGACAACACACCCACCCAGUUUCUGUACCGUGGAGCUUCUUGGGGAAGUUUCAGACUAGGAAACAAUGGGGCUCAGGACACAUCACCCCAAAGUAUGACUGUAGGAGACCAGAAUACGCCACCCCUAAAUAUGACUAUAGGAGACCAGAAUACGUCACCCCAAAAUAUGACUGUAGGAGACCAGAAUACGCCACCCCAAAAUAUGACUGUAGGAGACCAGAAUACGCCACCCCAAAAUAUGACUGUAGGAGACCAGAAUACGCCACCCCUAAAUAUGACUGUAGGAGACUAGAAUACGUCACCCCAAAAUAUGACUGUAGGAGACCAGAAUACGUCACCCCAAAAUAUGACUGUAGGAGACCAGAAUACGUCACCCCAAAAUAUGCCAUGUUGACAUGUUGAUUACUUUGAGCUAAAAGCAACUGAGAACCAGCCAACAGAAAAAAAGCUCUUCAGCUCCCUAAAAUAAAGUAAAAAACUCUCUUUUCUAAAGAAAAUUGACAUCUAUAAAGGACAUUUUCAUUAGUAAUGGUCUGUGUGCCAGGAAGAGAGCCGCGCGCCAAGACGCAUUUUCUCACCAUGAGACUGAUAGCUGCACCACGAGGCAGCCUUUAUGCCCAGACGUUUCCUCCCUCACCCUCUCCUCAUUUGUCUCUACCGCUCCCCAGAAGCCCAGGCCCCCUUUCCUUUCUGUCACAGAGGACGGACAU